rnacentral:piRNA from 1 species
CAAGGGUCAACUAUACAUACUUUGCUA